rnacentral:rRNA from 1 species
AUUGAACGCUGGCGGCAUGCCUUACACAUGCAAGUCGAACGGCAGCACGGGAGCAAUCCUGGUGGCGAGUGGCGAACGGGUGAGUAAUACAUCGGAACGUGCCCAGUAGUGGGGGAUAACCCGGCGAAAGCCGGACUAAUACCGCAUACGACCUACGGGUGAAAGCGGGGGAUCGCAAGACCUCGCGCUAUCGGAGCGGCCGAUGUCAGAUUAGCUAGUUGGUGGGGAAAAGCCCACCAAGGCGACGAUCUGUAGCUGGUCUGAGAGGACGACCAGCCACACUGGGACUGAGACACGGCCCAGACUCCUACGGGAGGCAGCAGUGGGGAAUUUUGGACAAUGGGCGCAAGCCUGAUCCAGCCAUGCCGCGUGCGGGAAGAAGGCC